rnacentral:misc_RNA from 1 species
GAUGAAGAACGUAGCGAAAUGCGAUAAGUAAUGUGAAUUGCAGAAUUCAGUGAAUCAUCGAAUCUUUGAACGCACAUUGCGCCCGCCAGUAUUCUGGCGGGCAUGCCUGUUCGAGCGUCAUUUCAACCAUCAAGCCCCCGGCUUGUGUUGGGGACCUGCGGCUGCCGCAGGCCCUGAAAAGCAGUGGCGGGCUCGCUGUCACACCGAGCGUAGUAGCAUACAUCUCGCUCUGGGCGUGCUGCGGGUUCCGGCCGUUAAACCACCUUUUAACCCAAGGUUGACCUCGGAUCAGGUAGGAAGACCCGCUGAACUUAAGCAUAUCAAUAAGCGGAGGA